GGGGGGGUUCCCAGGGGCGCGAAGCCGGGAGGGGGCAAACCGGGGCGGGGUGGGGGGGACCCCAGCGUGGAGGUCAGUCCGUGGGGCAGCGGCAGUCCUACAGCGUGCAGGAGGUGUCGGCCGCGCGCUUCCUGAGCUCCCUGCCGGCCUUAUGCUGGUGGUGGUGCGGAUGCGGGCCGGGCGGCUGCGUGUCCUGGGGGUGCCCGGCGCCGCGCGCCGCCUCCACGCGCAGAUACGCCUUCACCUUGUGCUGCCGCGCCGUGCCCUCGCUGGCGUCGAUCACGCGGCACUCGUAGGUGCCCUCAUCCGCCGGCUUCACCCGCGACAGCCGCAGUUUGUGCGAGAUGUUGCUGCCGACCACCUUCACCACACUGAUUUUUGUUGCGUCCUUCCCAGCCUCCUCCUGCUGUGAUGCUUUUAGCUGCUGGCCAGAAGCCCACGUCUGUUUGUCCGUCCAGUCCUUGUGGGUGCGGACGUACCACCACUGGAUUUCCA
rnacentral:lncRNA from 1 species